GGUUUUUGGACUUUUGAGGGGUUCUGUAUCAUCUUCCGUUCCAAUCCACCUCUCUUAGACACCGUCUCUAACUUGUCUAGUAACUAGAAGUAAUGGAGCACGGUUCUCUACAGGAUCCAAGCAGAGCAACCUUCUCGUUCGUUGAUGAAGAUCACACUCUUGCAAAUGCUGUCAGAUUCACCUUGAAUCAAGAUCCGAGGGUAUCAUUUUGUGGAUACAGUAUUCCUCAUCCCUCAGAUGCUCGAGUUAAUAUUAGAGUCCAAACAACAGGUGAUCCAGCAAGGGAGGUAUUGAAAGAUGGAUGUCAGAAUUUGAUGUUGAUGUGCCAUCAUGUUAGGAGCACUUUUGACAAGGCUGUUGGUGAUUAUAGAACAAACACCACAGAAAUGGAAAAUGAUUGAAAUUUGAUAUAUCUUACCCUUAUAAUCUUGGUAUGUAAGUUCAUUUGUAGGUGUAAUUGGACAGUUGCAAUGUAUUUGACUCCUUUCAAUCACGGUG
rnacentral:misc_RNA from 1 species